UUUCGUCACAAUCGAAAACAUCUUUGUUCUUUAUCUAUCUGUAUCUCUCUCUCUCUCUCUCUCUCUCUCCCUUUUAAAUGUGACCGGUGUUUAACAUGUUAUUGUGUUUCAAACCAUAAACUCUCGAUUUCAAAAAGCGUUUUGCGUACAUAACUGCGCGAAAGCAGAACCACCCGGUCUUUGCAGAGGCAUAUCUGCGGGUUGUGGAAUGCAGGCGUGAAACGGACCGCUCGCAGUUGCAGUCGUGCGAUUUGACCUUUAGUUUUCUCAGCAGUUUAUCCUUCAAUGUCUUGAUUCUUGAGAAACUUGGGGAGUGCCGAAUCAGCAGCAUGGGUUUAGCAGAGCAACUCAAGGCACUUUCACAUACCUGUAGUUUGAUGGUCGUGUGAGCCAGCACUAUACCGUGCGUCCCACGUAACUUGAGUCAAACAUUAAAAAUAUGCAAACUCCACGUAGCUGGACAGAACCAAAGUAAUGUUGUUUGCCGUCGCUUGGAGAUACUAAGAUUAUUUUUUUCAUUCCGCCUAAUUACAUAAUUAGUCUUAAUUAAUUAUUCAACGUCUCAAAUAUUAUAAUAAGACGAAAAGUGCCAAUGAGAAAUUUGUAGACCAACAUGGAAAACUCCCGAUACAGCUUUCUGUUGCUCAAUACGUGCUACAUAAACGUGUUUUUCCGAGCAUGAGAGAGCCCGCGAAUACGCGCUAAAUUGCCGCGCGACUGGCCGCUCGAGGCACUUUGCGUGUAUUCGCGUGGUUCUUUCAUGCUUGGAAAAACACUUUGGUUUUGGCACGUAACACACCAAAAUUUAAUUUUUGAUCUGGUGCGAUUUUGAUGCGACAUGCUACAACAGGACAUGCUCAAUGGGUUUUGCAUAAUUUACAGGUGCUAUGAACGAAUCGCGAUCGUCGGAAAAAUUUGUCGUAUGACUUCAUAUUGUCACGCAGCCUGAUCUAGCUUCAAACAGUGCGGCACUGCCGCUUUAAAUGUCAUUAAUGUCAUGUUUUAAAAGACAUUUCAUUUGUGAAUUCAUUCUUUGUCUUUCCAUGCAGUUCCAUAGGUUGCUUCUCUUCUCAAUUGAAUUGAACCGAAUCUGAAUUUUUUUCCGGACAAUAUGGAUUAAAUACAAUUGUCUAGGGAACCAGAAAAAAGGCAAUGAAAUGCCUAAUAACCACCCUUCAACCCAAAUUUUCCUUGACACAGUGCUCGAUAUGCACCGCAGCAAGGUAGUACGAAGAAACAAAAGAGCGUUUUUAGUGCCUAACAAGAUAAGAAAUCAAAACUAUAAAAUUUAUAACCGAGCAUUUUGAGAACAGCGAUUUGGAAAACGAGUAUUGGUACAUAUGAUAGUAUGUGCAGACGAAGUGCAUAGCGGAAGCAUAGCGGAAAUUUUGAAUUGUGUUAUGUUUCAUAUCAAGUAAGGCCAUCUCGAUCGAUUUUUAAUUUUAUUUCAUGUGUGUGUGUGUCUUUUGGAAACCGCAAUGGCGUUUUAUGGCCGUGUUGUUUGCUCGAAAGAAAUUUGAAAGUAGUGUAUUCAUUAGCUUCUUCUAUCACUUUUGAAUGGAAUGGCAAAAAUAGACAGACCUAUAGCUAUAUAUAGGUAUUGACGUCAUUUUUAUCACCACCCUUGAAAAUGACAGAUACCCGUACAACCUUCAAUUGAUCAAGGAUUGUGCCAGAAUUAAGUAUCGAGUUGCGUAUAUGCGAGAGCGGCCUAAUAAUAGUGUGGACCUAGCUUAUUCAGACGAGUUCAAUGUAGCGCAGCUUGCACAUGGACACACCGGAGGAAUAGGACACAUAUCUACAAAGCGCUAACUUCCAACAACGCUUUGCUUGGACACACACGCCUUGAAUGAGCUACUCAGCGAGCAAACUAACAAACACAAAUCGAUGGUUUUCUUAGCCUUCAUUGUCGCAAGUGCUGUGUUCCUCGAUGUUAAGAUACGGUUAUCUUAGGAAAAAAGCCAGUGUGAAUUGACCAAAGCGCCUAAUCAUUUUAUGUGCCUUCAUGAUGCGUGCGUUAGCAAGACGUCAUUGUCCCGGUCAAAGAAAGAAAUAGAUUUUUAUUGCGAUUAUAUGGACACUCCAAGCUGAUUUCUGCCGUCGUCGUCGCCGUCGCCGUAAGGUUCCGUAUGAAGUCCAUGGGCGAUAAAAUUGUCGCCGCGCGCCGUAUGCUGUAGUGAAAGCGCACGAGGGACGCGCGCUUUCACGGUGAACGAACGCACGGCGGAGAGCAAACGCGACGUCUUUCGUUGUGCGAAAGGCCGUGGGGGGAUGGGAGGGCGGGAGGGGAGGCGACGUUUAACUGCGGCACCAAACGCGUAUCUUGCGACCGGGCGCAAGGGGAACUGGCGACUGAAUCUCCCACACGAAAGCAGGAAAGCGAGAAGGCAGCGCGGGAGGGAGGGUGUGCGGCUUCUACUCUGCCAGCAACUGCAUACUUGUACUUUGCGCGGCUGUGGGCUGUCGCGCGCACCGCAUCUUGAAAGCGAUCUCCACACGGAUCCUACCUUUGUAUGCGCUGUGCUUUCGCCACUCAGUUUCCGUUGAAGCGAUAGACCGCACGAACCUUCGGUCGCUGCUGCAACCGCGCCAGCGUUUUGACAGUGGUUGUCUGCGGUCAUCGAGUGUGAUCUAUUCAUGUUUGCUUGUGCGCGCUGACACCAUGCUUGUUAUGUGUCCAAGUUUAUGCAGCCGAUAACACUACUAUCCUUACUCCGUAUAGCUCUGUACUAAAAUUGAUGCUUCGGCUUUCGGGCGAUACUGCGACUUUUUUUACGCAUGCGUUAGAAGUACACCGCAAUAAUAGUGACAUUGUUUGCAAUGUGCACUUAUUAUUAACGUUUGUUUGUUAUCCCUAAGUCUGAAUACGUGUUCCGUGAUGUGACGACCACCUGUGAUUGCGCGGGGAACGCUGUUAUGGGUGUGCGCACACAUCACUUGUUCUUCCGUUUCUUUUCCAUUUCCUUCUUUCUUUUCUGCUCCCUUCCCCUCCCCCAGUGUCGGGUAGCAAACAAGGUGCAACCUGGUCGACUCCCUGCCUUUCUUUUCUUUCUCUCUGUGACGUCACGUGUGGGAUGUACAGUCGAGUCAAAAGUUUACAGAUUACGGAACCUGAGAAAAGGCUGAAUAAAGAUGUUUAUUCUCUCUCUCCACAGCCUGAGCACGCAGCCUAGUAUUUGGAUGUCCACCCUGUACUAUAGUAUAUAUGCAAACAACAUAGCAUUGUUUUACUGACUAUGGUCACGAACUGGUCGGCAAUUCAACGUUUCUCAGAUCGCACGGUCCGGACAACUUUUAAAGCCGACUGUGCGAGUGUCGCUGUUUAUCAGAAAUAAAACAUUUUUGAAAGU